rnacentral:rRNA from 1 species
GAUGAACGCUGGCGGCGUGCCUAAUACAUGCAAGUCGAACGCGCAGCGAGAGGUGCUUGCACCUUUCAAGCGAGUGGCGAACGGGUGGGUAACACGUGGAUAACCUGCCUCAAGGCUGGGGAUAACAUUUGGAAACAGAUGCUAAUACCGAAUAAAACUUAGUAUCGCAUGAUAUCAAGUUAAAAGGCGCUACGGCGUCACCUAGAGAUGGAUCCGCGGUGCAUUAGUUAGUUGGUGGGGUAAGGCUUACCAAGACGAUGAUGCAUAGCCGAGUUGAGAGACUGAUCGGCCACAUUGGGACUGAGACACGGCCCAAACUCCUACGGGAGGCUGCAGUAGGGAAUCUUCCACAAUGGGCGCAAGCCUGAUGGAGCAACGCCGCGUGUGUGAUGAAGGCUUUCGGGUCGUAAAGCACUGUUGUAUGGGAAGAAAUGCUAAAAUAGGGAAUGAUUUUAGUUUGACGGUACCAUACCAGAAAGGGACGGCUAAAUACGUGCCAGCAGCCGCCGUAA